rnacentral:rRNA from 1 species
GACGAACGCUGGCGGCGUGCUUAACACAUGCGAGUCGAACGGAAAGGCCCUGCUUGCAGGGUACUCGAGUGGCGAACGGGUGAGUAACACGUGGGUGAUCUGCCCUGCACUUCGGGAUAAGCCUGGGAAACUGGGUCUAAUACCGGAUAGGAGCCAUUUUUAGUGUGAUGGUUGGAAAGUUUUUUCGGUGUAGGAUGAGCUCGCGGCCUAUCAGCUUGUUGGUGGGGUAAUGGCCUACCAAGGCGGCGACGGGUAGCCGGCCUGAGAGGGUGGACGGCCACAUUGGGACUGAGAUACGGCCCAGACGCCUACGGGAGGCAGCAGUGGGGAAUAUUGCACAAUGGGCGCAAGCCUGAUGCAGCGACGCCGCGGGGGGGAUGACGGCCUUCGGGUUGUAAACUCCGUUCGCUAGGGACGAAGCUUUUUGUGACGGUACCUAGAUAAGAAGCACCGGCUAACUACGUG